CACACCCGUUCCCAUACCGAACACGGAAGUUAAGCUCUUCAGCGCCGAUGGUAGUUGGGGGUUUCCCCCUGUGAGAGUAGGACGUCGCCGGGC
rnacentral:rRNA from 1 species